rnacentral:rRNA from 1 species
AGAGCGAACGCUGGCGGCGUGCUUAACACAUGCAAGUCGAACGAGGUCUGUAGCAAUACAGAUACUCGUGGCGAACGGGUGCGUAACACGUGGAUAACCUUCCUUCAGGUGGGGAAUAACCCAGUGAAAAUUGGGCUAAUACCGCAUAACAUGACGAUGCCACAUGGUGUUGUCUUCAAAGGCGCAAGUCGCCAGAAGAGGGAUCCGCGGCCGAUUAGCUAGUUGGCGAGGUAAUGGCUCACCAAGGCAAUGAUCGGUAGCCGGACUGAGAGGUUGGCCGGCCACACUGGAACUGAGACACGGUCCAGACUCCUACGGGAGGCAGCAGUGGGGAAUCUUGCACAAUGGACGAAAGUCUGAUGCAGCAACGCCGCGUGGGGAUGAAGCUUUUCGGAGUGUAAACCCCUUUCGACCCGGAAGAAAGCCCGCAAGGGUUUGACGGUACGGGUAUAAGAAGCCCCGGCUAACUACGCGCCAGCAGCCGCGGU